GCAAGUCGAGCGGACAGAUGGGAGCUUGCUCCCUGAUGUCAGCGGCGGACGGGUGAGUAACACGUGGGUAACCUGCCUGUAAGACUGGGAUAACUCCGGGAAACCGGGGCUAAUACCGGAUGCUUGAUUGAACCGCAUGGUUCAAUUAUAAAAGGUGGCUUCUACCUACCACUUACAAAUGGACCCCCGCCGCAUUACCUAGUUGGUGAGGUAACGGCUCACCAAGGCAACAAUGCUUAGCCAACCUGAAAGGGUGAUCGGCCACACUGGGACUGAAA
rnacentral:rRNA from 1 species